GACGAACGCUGGCGACGUGCUUAACACAUGCAAGUCGAACGGAAAGGCCCUGCUUUUGUGGGGUGCUCGAGUGGCGAACGGGUGAGUAACACGUGAGUAACCUGCCCUUGACUUUGGGAUAACUUCAGGAAACUGGGGCUAAUACCGGAUAGGAGCUCCUGCUGCAUGGUGGGGGUUGGAAAGUUUCGGCGGUUGGGGAUGGACUCGCGGCUUAUCAGCUUGCUGGUGGGGUAGUGGCUUACCAAGGCUUUGACGGGUAGCCGGCCUGAGAGGGUGACCGGCCACAUUGGGACUGAGAUACGGCCCAGACUCCUACGGGAGGCAGCAGUGGGGAAUAUUGCACAAUGGGCGGAAGCCUGAUGCAGCAACGCCGCGUGCGGGAUGACGGCCUUCGGGUUGUAAACCGCUUUCGCCUGUGACGAAGCGUGAGUGACGGUAAUGGGUAAAGAAGCACCGGCUAACUACGUG
rnacentral:rRNA from 1 species